rnacentral:rRNA from 1 species
UACGUAGGGUCCAAGCGUUAAUCGGAAUUACUGGGCGUAAAGCGUGCGCAGGCGGUUGUGUAAGUCAGAUGUGAAAUCCCCGGGCUUAACCUGGGAAUGGCAUUUGGGACUGCACGGCUAGAGUACGGCAGAGGAGACUAGAAUUCCUGGUGUAGCAGUGAAAUGCGUAGAUAUCAGGAGGAAUACCGAUGGCGAAGGCAGGUCGCUGGGUCGAUACUGACGCUCAUGCACGAAAGCGUGGGGAGCAAACAGG